rnacentral:rRNA from 1 species
CAAGUCGAACGCGAAAGCCCCGCAAGGGGCAAGUAGAGUGGCAAACGGGUGAGUAACGCGUGGGCGACCUACCUUCGAGUGGGGGAUAACCUUCCGAAAGGAGGGCUAAUACCGCAUGACAUCCCGUGUUUGGAUACACGGACAUCAAAGCCGGGGAUCGCAAGACCUGGCGCUUGGAGAGGGGCCUGCGUCCGAUUAGCUAGUUGGUGGGGUCAUGGCCUACCAAGGCGACGAUCGGUAUCCGGCCUGAGAGGGCGGACGGACACACUGGAACUGAGACACGGUCCAGACUCCUACGGGAGGCAGCAGUAGGGAAUUGUUCGCAAUGGGCGCAAGCCUGACGACGCAACGCCGCGUGGAGGAUGAAGACCUUCGGGUCGUAAACUCCUUUCGACCGAGAUGAACACCUGCCGACCGAAUACGUUGGCAGGCUGACAGUAUCGAGGGAAGAAGCCCCGGCUAACUCCGUGCCAGCAGCCGCGGUAAUACGGGGGGGGCAAGCGUUGUUCGGAAUUACUGGGCGUAAAGGGUUCGUAGGUGGCCUGCUAAGUCAGACGUGAAAUCCCUCAGCUUAACUGGGGAACUGCGUCUGAUACUGGUGGGCUCGAGUGCAGGAGAGGAACGCGGAAUUCCAGGUGUAGCGGUGAAAUGCGUAGAUAUCUGGAGGAACACCGGUGGCGAAGGCGGCGUUCUGGACUGCAACUGACACUGAGGAACGAAAGCCAGGGGAGCAAACGGGAUUAGAUACCCCGGUAGUCCUGGCCCUAAACGAUGAAUGCUUGGUGUGGCGGGUAUCGAUCCCUGCCGUGCCGCAGUUAACGCGUUAAGCAUUCCGCCUGGGGAGUACGGUCGCAAGGCUGAAACUCAAA